UACGUAGGGUGCGAGCGUUGUCCGGAAUUAUUGGGCGUAAAGAGCUCGUAGGCGGUUUGUCGCGUCUGCUGUGAAAAAUCCAGGGCUCAACCCUGGACCUGCAGUGGGUACGGGCAGACUAGAGUGCGGUAGGGGAGAUCGGAAUUCCUGGUGUAGCGGUGAAAUGCGCAGAUAUCAGGAGGAACACCGGUGGCGAAGGCGGAUCUCUGGGCCAUAACUGACGCUGGAGGAGCGAAAAGCAUGGG
rnacentral:rRNA from 1 species